rnacentral:rRNA from 1 species
GACGAACGCUGGCGGCGUGCUUAACACAUGCAAGUCGAACGGUAAGGCCCUUCGGGGUACACGAGUGGCGAACGGGUGAGUAACACGUGGGUGAUCUGCCCUGCACUUCGGGAUAAGCCUGGGAAACUGGGUCUAAUACCGGAUAGGACUCCGGAAUGCAUGGUCUGGGGUGGAAAGCUUUUGCGGUGUGGGUUGGGCCCGCGGCCUAUCAGCUUGUUGGUGGGGUGAUGGCCUACCAAGGCGACGACGGGUAGCCGGCCUGAGAGGGUGACCGGCCACACUGGGACUGAGAUACGGCCCAGACUCCUACGGGAGGCAGCAGUGGGGAAUAUUGCACAAUGGGCGCAAGCCUGAUGCAGCGACGCCGCGUGAGGGAUGACGGCCUUCGGGUUGUAAACCUCUUUCGGCAUCGACGAAGCGAAAGUGACGGUAGGUGCAGAAGAAGGACCGGCCAACUACGUGCCAGCCGCCGCAGUAA